rnacentral:ncRNA from 1 species
GAAAGAGGCCUUCAAUACGCCCUCCCCUAUCAUUAAAAGAUAAGGUUCAUAGAAAUAUUUCACUGUAUGCUGGAAACUCCUUAGAGCUUUUGUUACUAUAAAUCUAUUAUUUGAUUUAAGUAAAAAUACAAAAGAUUGGAUAAUCAGCAGGAAACCAAAGAUUAAUACAUUUAAUCAAGUAGGAUCCUCAGAGACUAUGUGUGAAACACCGUAUCAUAAUAUAUUAGGUACGUUGAAGAUAUAGUCCAUACUUAUAUUAAUAUAUGA